rnacentral:rRNA from 1 species
UACAGGGGGGGCAAGCGUUGUUCGGAAUUACUGGGCGUAAAGGGUCUGUAGGUGGCCAACUAAGUCAGACGUGAAAUCCCUCAGCUUAACUGGGGAACUGCGUCUGAUACUGGAUGGCUUGAGUGUGGGAGAGGAAUGCGGAAUUCCAGGUGUAGCGGUGAAAUGCGUAGAGAUCCGGAAGAACACCGGUGGCGAAGGCGGUCUGCUGGGCAGUUGCUGACACUGAGGCGCGACAGCGUGGGGAGCAAACAGG